rnacentral:lncRNA from 1 species
GCAGAAUUCUGAUGAGGCUGGGCUCUUUCGCAGCUGGCAUUUGAUGAGAAAAGGGAAUUGAAAUGUAGGUGAUUGAUUUGGACCUGGAGAAGCUGAUUGGAUGUCACCCUGUUCUUCCCGACAAUGGGGACCGGUCUGUGCAAAGGGGACUUCCUGUGACCCCUGCGGGUCCACCGGAAGUUCUGAUUUCUCCCCGUGGAAUAGGGGCGCGAAGGCUGCCCUGUCACACACGGCCCAAGAGAUUGAUUACCUGGGCUCUGGCAGCCUCUCUGGAAGUGGGGGAUGACUGCUGGCCAGCCCUGAGGACUCUCCCUCUCCACUCUCCUCACAGUCAUGAGGCUGGACCAUAGCUGCCUUCAGCGACCCCGAUGUCCAGGUGCACCUGCUGAGUGGAAAAGUCAAUAAACAGUUGCAAAUACAAA